CAGUAAUGCCCAGUGCUGCGAUUUGUAAAUACAGAAUCAUGGCAGCUUGAAGCUUGCCCAUCCUAGCUGCCAAUAAGGCAUUCUCAGUUCCAGUUUAACUGAAUUCAGUUUCUGCAGCUUGUGAAUGUGUACCAAGCAGAAUAUCAAAUUGAAUACUCGGUCAAAGUAAAACUCGGUCAUAUGACUGCAGCCCCCAUAAGAAAGAUUCGAUCAAAUGCUUUUGAU